AACGAACGCUGGCGGCAGGCUUAACACAUGCAGGUCGAACGCAUCCUUCGGGGUGAGUGGCAGACGGGUGAGUAACGCGUGGGAACGUGCCCUUCAGUUCGGGAUAACCCGGGGAAACUUGGGCCAAUACCGGAUACGUGCGAGAGCAGAAAGAUUUAUCGCUGAAGGAUCGGCCCGCGUCUGAUUAGCGAGUUGGUGGGGUAAUGGCCCACCAAGUCGACGAUCAGUAGCUGGUCGGAGAGGCUGGUCAGCCAAAUUGGGACGGGGACACGGCCCAACUUCCGACGGGAGGCAGGAGGGGGGAAUAUUGGACAAGGAGAGCAAGCCUGAUCCAGCCAUGCCGCGUGGGUGAUGAAGGCCUUAGGGUAGUAAAGCUCUUUCGUCCGGGACGAUAAUGACGGUACCUGAAGAAGAAGCCCCGGCUAACUUCGUGCCAGCAGCCGCCGCCGUAA
rnacentral:rRNA from 1 species